AUUUUUGAUGUAUUUUUCUAUGUUUAGGUAUAUAAAUACUCACCAUUUUGUUACAAUUACCUACAGUAUCCAAUACAGUUACAUGCUUACAGGUGUG